rnacentral:tRNA from 1 species
UAGCUCAGUUGGUAGAGCAUGGUGCUUGUAACGCCAGGGUAGUGGGUUCAAUUCCCUC